GGCAUGGUGGUCUAGGGGUAUGAUAUUGGCUUCGGGAGCGAGUGGUCCCGGGUUCGAAUCCCGGCCAGGCCC
rnacentral:tRNA from 1 species